rnacentral:rRNA from 1 species
UGGGGAAUUUUGGACAAUGGGCGCAAGCCUGAUCCAGCCAUGCCGCGUGCAGGAUGAAGGCCUUCGGGUUGUAAACUGCUUUUGUACGGAACGAAAAGGUGCCUUCUAAUAAAGGGCGCUCAUGACGGUACCGUAAGAAUAAGCACCGGCUAACUACGUGCCAGCAGCCGCGGUAAUACGUAGGGUGCGAGCGUUAAUCGGAAUUACUGGGCGUAAAGCGUGCGCAGGCGGUUUUGUAAGACAGAGGUGAAAUCCCCGGGCUCAACCUGGGAACUGCCUUUGUGACUGCAAGGCUGGAGUGCGGCAGAGGGGGAUGGAAUUCCGCGUGUAGCAGUGAAAUGCGUAGGUAUGCGGAGGAACACCGAUGGCGAAGGCAAUCCCCUGGGCCUGCACUGACGCUCAUGCACGAAAGCGUGGGGAGCAAACA